UGGUCCAGACUUUGAUUAUGGCUCAGGAUGAACGCUAGCUACAGGCUUAACACAUGCAGGUCGAGGGGAAACGACAUCGAAAGCUUGCUUUUGAUGGGCGUCGACCGGCGCACGGGUGAGUAACGCGUAUCCAACCUGCCCAUCACUUGGGGAUAACCUUGCGAAAGUAAGACUAAUACCCAAUGACGUCUCUAGAAGACAUCUUAAAGAGAUUAAAGAUUUAUCGGUGAUGGAUGGGGAUGCGUCUGAUUAGCUUGUUGGCGGGGUAACGGCCCACCAAGGCGACGAUCAGUAGGGGUUCUGAGAGGAAGGUCCCCCACAUUGGAACUGAGACACGGUCCAAACUCCUACGGGAGGCAGCAGUGAGGAAUAUUGGUCAAUGGGCGAGAGCCUGAACCAGCCAAGUAGCGUGCAGGAUGACGGCCCUAUGGGUUGUAAACUGCUUUUAUAAGGGAAUAAAGUGAGUCUCGUGAGACUUUUUGCAUGUACCUUAUGAAUAAGGACCGGCUAAUUCCGUGCCAGCAGCCGC
rnacentral:rRNA from 1 species